rnacentral:rRNA from 1 species
CAGUAGCCGCGGUAAUACGAAGGGUGCAAGCGUUAAUCGGAAUUACUGGGCGUAAAGCGUGCGUAGGCGGUUUGUUAAGUCUGCUGUGAAAUCCCCGGGCUCAACCUGGGAAUGGCAGUGGAUACUGGCAAGCUAGAGUGUGUCAGGGGAUGGUGGAAUUCCCGGUGUAGCGGUGAAAUGCGUAGAGAUCGGGAGGAACAUCAGUGGCGAAGGCGGCCAUCUGGGACAACACUGACGCUGAGGCACGAAAGCGUGGGGAGCAAACAGGAUUAGAUACCCCAGUAGUCCCUGUCUUCUUAUA